rnacentral:rRNA from 1 species
CCCUUAGAUGUUCUGGGCCGCACGCGCGCUACACUGAAUGGAUCAACGUGUUUUCCCUUCCCGAGAGGGACGGGUAACCCGCUGAACCCCAUUCGUGGUAGGGAUCGGAGCUUGCAAUUGUUCUCCGUGAACCAGGAAUUCCCAGUAAGCGCAAGUCAUAAGCUUGCGUUGAUUACGUCCCUGCCCUUUGUACACACCGCCCGUCGCUACUACCGAUUGAACGUUUUAGUGAGGUACUCGGACUGAGCCUCAGAAGAUUCACGUCUUUUGUGCUGCUCGGGAAGAUUCCCAAACUUGAGCGUUUAGAGGAAGUAAAANUCGUAACA